CUACGGGUGGCUGCAGUGAGGAAUAUUGCACAAUGGGGGGAACCCUGAUGCAGCAACGCCGCGUGGAGGAUGACGCAUUUCGGUGUGUAAACUCCUUUUAUAUGUCAAGAAAAUGACGGUAGCAUAUGAAUAAGCACCGGCUGAACUCCGUGCCAGCAGCCGCGGUAAUACGGAGGGUGCAAGCGUUACUCGGAAUCACUGGGCGUAAAGGACGCGUAGGCGGGUUGGAAAGUCAGGUGUGAAAUCCUACAGCUUAACUGUAGAACUGCACUUGAAACUUCUAAUCUAGAGUAUGGGAGGGGGAGAUGGAAUUAGUGGUGUAGGGGUAAGAUCCGUAGAUAUCACUAGGAAUACCUAAAGCGAAGGCGAUCUCCUGGAACAUUACUGACGCUAAGGCGUGAAAGCGUGGGGAGCAAACAGGGUUAGAUACCCUCGUAGUC
rnacentral:rRNA from 1 species